rnacentral:lncRNA from 1 species
AUCUCAUGAAUCAAAUAUACAGAUUUAUCCCAGUGAGUUCUGAGCAAGAUGAUAUUUUCCUAUUUCUCUUAUAGUAAUGUUGGCACCAUAUGAACCACUUGGGCCUGACCAUAACUUUCCGUGAUAAUCCACUAUGAUGGGGCUCCCCAGUCCCUACACCAUAGACUCCUGCCAGUCUGUGGCCUGUUAGGAACUGGACCACUAAGUGGGAAAUGAGCAGAGGGCAAGUGAGCAAAGCUUCACCUGUAUUUACAGCUGUUCCCAAUCACUCACAUUACCACCUGCACUCAGCCUCCUGUCAGAUGAACGACUGCAUUAGAUUCUCAUAGGAACAUGAAGCCUAUUGUUACCUGCAAAUAUGAGGGAGCUAGGUUGUGCACUACUUAUGAGAAUCCAAUGCCUAAUAAUCUGUCACUGUCUCCUAUCACCCCCAGAUGGGACUGACUAGAUGCAGGAAAACUAGCUCAGGGCUGCCACUGAUUCUACAUUAUGGACUGACACCACAUGGAGGCUUGAGACUUACACCCUCUGAAGCCAUGGCCCAAGCUGUACUUUUGCUCCUUUUUACCACAGUUGAAACAGCACAAGUUGGAACAAAGCACCAAGUCCAGAGGCAGCACAAAGCAGUGGGAAAAGCAUUUUUUUCCUCCUAUACCUCCAGACCUGUGAUGGGAAGACUACCAUCAAGGUUGCUGAGAUGGCCUGGAGACAUUUUCACCAUUGGCUCCUCAUUAAUUUUGCAAAUUUCAUCAAUGAGUUUGAAUUUCUUCCCAGAAAAUGGUUUUCUUUCUUUUCUACUGCAUCAUCAGGCUUCAAAUUUUCUAAACUUUUAUGCUCUGUUACUUCUCGAAUACUUUGCUGCUUAGAAAUUUCUUCUGCCAGAUACCCUUAAAUUUUCUCUCUUAAUUUCAAAGUUCCAAAGAUCUCUAGGGCAGGGGCAGAAAGCUGCCAGUCUCCUUGCUAAAGUACAGCAAGAGUCACCUUUACUCAAGUUCCCAACAAAUUCUUCAUCUCCAUCUGAGACCACCUCAGCCUGAAUAUUAUUGUCCAUAUUACUAUCAGCAUUUUGGUCAAAGCCAUUCAGCAAGUCGCUAGGAGGCUCUAAACUUUCUCACAUCUUCCUGUCUUCCAAACCCUCCAAUUCUCUAGGCAGUUCCAAAGUUUCCCACAUCUUCUUGUUUCCUUAGCCCUCCAAGUCUCUAGGAAGUUCCAAGGCUAUCCCACAUUUUUCUGUCUUCUUCUGAGCCCUGAAAACUGUUCCAACCUCUGCUUCUUACCCACUUCCAAAGUCACUUCCAUAUUUUUGGGUACCUUUACAGCAGCACCCCACUACCAGCUACUAAUUUAUUGUAUUAUUCAGUUCUCAUGCUGAUAAUAAAGACAUACCCAAGACAGGGUAAUUUAUAAAGGAAAGAAGUUUAAUAGACUCACAGUUCCUUAAGG